rnacentral:rRNA from 1 species
AAUGAACGCUGGCGGCGUGCUUAACACAUGCAAGUCGAACGAGAAAGGGAUUGCUUGCAAUCCUGAGUAGAGUGGCGCACGGGUGAGUAACACGUAGAUAAUCUACCCCCCAAGCCCGGGAUAACCGUUCGAAAGGACGGCUAAUACCGGAUGCAGUUCAUUCACACAAGUGGAUGGAUGAAAGACUGCCUCUUCAUGAAAGCAGUUGUUUGGGGAUGAGUUUGCGUACCAUUAGCUUGUUGGUGGGGUAACGGCCUACCAAGGCUGUGAUGGUUAGCUGGUCUGAGAGGAUGAUCAGUCACACUGGAACUGGAACACGGUCCAGACUCCUACGGGAGGCAGCAGUGAGGAAUUUUGCGCAAUGGGGGAAACCCUGACGCAGCAACGCCGCGUGAGUGAAGAAGGCCCUUGGGUCGUAAAGCUCUGUCAACCGGGAAGAAGUUAACAUCAACGAACAGUUGAUGUUAUUGACGGUACCGGUGGAGGAAGCGCCGGCUAACUCCGUGCCAGCAGCCGCGGUAACACGGGGGGCGCAAGCGUUAUUCGGAAUUAUUGGGCGUAAAGGGCGCGUAGGCGGUUCUGUCGGUCAGAUGUGAAAGCCCGGGGCUCAACCCUGGAAGUGCAUUUGAAACAGCAGAACUUGAGUACGGGAGAGGAAAGCGGAAUUCCUGGUGUAGAGGUGAAAUUCGUAGAUAUCAGGAGGAACACCGAUGGCGAAGGCAGCUUUCUGGACCGAUACUGACGCUGAGGCGCGAAGGCGUGGGUAGCGAACG